AGUCUCUGACCUGAGUAGAUGGCAUCUGGUUGGUAGUGCCUGCCUCCUGUCAGCCAGGGUCAAAGCAACUCCUUGUUUGUCCCAGCUUGGCUUUUGGGCUGUGCCCGAGCCUGGUUCAUGCCCUGGACGCAUGG
ensembl:snoRNA